rnacentral:rRNA from 1 species
GACGAACGCUGGCGGCGUGCCUAAUACAUGCAAGUCGAACGGUCUUUUCUAUGGAAGCUUGCUUCCACUGAGAAGAUAGUGGCGGACGGGUGAGUAACACGUGGGUAACCUGCCCAUAAGAGGGGGAUAACAUCCGGAAACGGGUGCUAAAACCGCAUAAUAUGCGAACAUCGCAUGAUGAACGCAUUAAAUAUUUANAGGUAUGAGAUGGGCCCGCGUCUGAUUAGCUAGUUGUGAGAUAAAGCUUACCAAGGCGACGAUCAGUAGCCGGCUUGAGAGAGUGACCGGCACUAUUGGGACUGAGACACGGCCCAAACUCCACGGGAGCAGCAGUGGGAAUAUGCAC